UACAGAGGUCUCAAGCGUUGUUCGGAUUCAUUGGGCGUAAAGGGUGCGUAGGCGGCGCGGUAAGUCGGGUGUGAAAUCUCGGAGCUUAACUUCGAAACUGCAUUCGAUACUGCCGUGCUUGAGGACUGGAGAGGAGACUGGAAUUUACGGUGUAGCGGUGAAAUGCGUAGACAUCGUAAGGAAGACCAGUGGCGAAGGCGGGUCUCUGGACAGUUCCUGACGCUGAGGCACGAAGGUCAGGGGAGCAAACGGG
rnacentral:rRNA from 1 species